CACUUCCCUUCAGCGUUCACACCACCUUCUCAUAUAUAUCUUUCCUACCCUUUCUCUCUCUAUCUUUUUCUUUCUUUCUUUCUUUCUUUCUUUGAUCAAAUCAAUCCUUUCUUGUGGGUGUAAACUGAUUUAGAUUAUUUUGUGUUUGCGUGUGUUUGUGUUGUUGUUAUGGAGGGUCUUCACCACCACCUUCAUCACCAUCAGCAGCAAAUACAGCAGCAGCAUCACAUCAGUGUAAACGUUGAUACAAGUGAUAGGUUUCCUCAAUGGAGUAUUCAAGAAACGAAAGAGUUCUUGAUGAUCCGUGCAGAACUGGAUCCAACUUUCAUGGAGAAAAAGAGAAACAAAGUUUUGUGGGAAGUUAUCUCUAAGAAUAUGAAGGAAAAGGGUUAUAAUCGUAGCGCAGAGCAGUGCAAGUGCAAGUGGAAGAAUCUUGUUACACGAUACAAGGGUUGUGAGACGAUAGAACCUGAGUCUAUGAGGCACCAGUUUCCUUUCUAUAAUGAGUUGCAAGCGAUUUUCACAUCGAGGAUGCAAAGAAUGUUAUGGGCUGAUGCUGAAGGAGCGGCAAGUGGGUCGAAGAAGAAAGCAGUGCAGCUAUCUUCUGACGAGGAGGAGGACAAUGAAGAAAUUAGCGAAGGAGAGAAGGGUAGCAGUAGAAAGAGGAUCAAAAAGGGCAAGGCAGUUGGUGGAGCAAGUUGUAGUAGUGGAAAUAGUAAUAGCUUGAGAGAGACUUUGGAAGAUUUCAUGAAGCAACAGAUGCAUAUGGAAAUGCAAUGGAGAGAAACAAUCGAAGCAAGGGAAAAUGAGAGAAGGAUGAAGGAGAUGGAGUGGAGACAAAUUAUGGAAGGAAUAGAGAAUGAGAGGACAACGAUGGAUAGAAGAUGGAGAGAGAUAGAAGAGCAAAGAAGGGCGAGAGAAGAAGCUAGGGCUGAGAAGAGGGACGCCCUUAUCACAGCACUUCUAAACAAGCUUAGAAGAGAAGACAUGUAGUGAUCACCUUUCUUUUAAUGUUUUUGCUGUUUUAGAGAAGAAGGUGCUUACAGAGAGAGCUGGUAGGAUUGGUGAACCGACAAGAUACAUGUUCAUGGCUUGUAGAGAAGAUUUUUGGCAGGGAAACCGACAGGUUAAGCUUCAUUUGUUUUCUCCAUCAACUGUCAACAGGACCAUGAGAAAAGGUGCAAGUUUGAGACCCAGCCUCAGAGUCACUAUAAUUUGAUAUUUUGCCCUAUAUAUAUAUAUAUAUA